UCCAUGCUCCCAGCACUGGCUCUGCUGCCCUGCAGGACACAGUCGUCUCCUGUCUCUGCCCACAGCUCUGAGCCUCAGGCCUGGGCAGGGGAGGCAGCUGCGAGGCCCAGCACAGGCAGCAUCACACCCACCUUCCUAUGAGAGCAGGGAUCAAAGUGGGGGAGAGACAAAGAGAAGAAGACCCCCCUGGCAGGGGGUUCCCCAGGGUUUGAGGAGGGAAGAGCCCCUGAAAGGAGGGUGAUUGUGUGACCUUGUUGGCAGGGCCUGUUCCAGAGUCUCUGGUAAGGUUAUAAAAGCAGAAGUUCUGCUGGUUUCUGUAACCCCCCUGCUGAGUCUGGGCUCCUGAUGGAGCUGCCAGCCAGCUGAGUGAGUAACCAUGGCAGCAGGCUGGUUAUGACCAUGUGCCUUCAAGGACCACUCGCAAGUAUGGCUGUCAUUUGUCCUCCUUUGAGGCCUCACAAUGAGCCCCCUGCACAGCCAAGCAUGAUCCCACCCCCACCUGCUAAAUCUUGCACACGCUUUGAGAAACCCCUUCCACCAGAGCUGUCACCUGCAUGGCCUCCUUCAUCACCUCAUUUACCUUAAAAUAUUGUUACUCUGGCCAAAGGGGAGGUAUGAUGGGACCCCCAGGGUGCUACCUGUAACUGGGGGACCACUGUGCCCCCUUUACUUUCUAUUCUGGGUUGUCUCUCAUAAUGCCAUACUGGUGGUAAGCACCAAACCCCUCCAGGUGCUGUUACCACUCAGCACAACUGCAUGUGGAGCCUCAUAUCCAGCUAGAUUGUGUGAAUGCUCCCAGAGCCACUCAUGAAUCACUGAGAAAGGACUCAACCAAAUCCCCUCAGCUCCAAGAAUUGUACUUUAGGAAUGUACCGUCUUGCACUACUCAAGACCCUUUCUUGAUAAAUGCAAGUUUAUUAAUUGGAAAUUAAAUGGAAAGUGGACAUACAGCAGCCUUUGUAACCUGAGCAGAUUUACCAAGCACUUCAGUCAAACUCACUGAGACUGACUGAUGCAACGCACCUUACAAGCAACCUCCUGUGAUGCUCAAUGAUCAGAUGGAGCCAGGGAGUCUGACAGAGGUUGGGCGAUGGCCACUUAACUCCAGAAAUGCAGGCAGAGCUGGAUGCUGUGGAAAAGAUAAAACCUGAUUUGAACAUAACAAUAUGGUCUGAAGACUGAGUGAGAGCCAUUGCACCAACACGGCUCUGGCCUGGCUGCCCUGCCACUAGCUGCAUCAGCAGUCACGGACAGCUGAGAACCUGGCUCACUUACUAGAGAUCCCACAUCUCCAGGGACUCCAGCAGCAUAUUUCAGCAUCUGUGGCAGGGGGCCGAGUAGAGAUUGUCAGGCCCAACCCUCCUGUCUGAGGGCAAGAGACUCAGGAGUAGG